rnacentral:rRNA from 1 species
UGCCAGCCGCCGCGGUAAUACGAAGGGGGCAAGCGUUGUUCGGAAUCACUGGGCGUAAAGAGCACGUAGGCGGAUUGUUAAGUUAGGGGUGAAAUCCCGAGGCUCAACCUCGGAACUGCCUCUGAUACUGGCAAUCUUGAGUUCGAGAGAGGUGAGUGGAAUUCCGAGUGUAGAGGUGAAAUUCGUAGAUAUUCGGAGGAACACCAGUGGCGAAGGCGACUCACUGGCUCGAUACUGACGCUGAGGUGCGAAAGCGUGGGGAGCAAACAGGAUUAGAUA